GCGAGCAUCUUCGGGGAGUAGCCGUCCGCACCACAGCGGAGCCCGCGUCAACAGACUUGGUCCGUCUCGGACCAUGGCGCGUGCGGCGGACCUUCAGGUCCGGAUUGGCGAGACCGGCGAUGCGGCCUCCAUAGCCCACGGGCGCGGCGGAGGUUUUGCGUCGUCGUGUCGAACGCCGCGUC
rnacentral:sRNA from 2 species